rnacentral:lncRNA from 1 species
CAUUUUGAUGUCUAGAAUCAGGGGAUCCAGGAUCAUCACCAAGGUCAUUUUCCCAGACAGAUGUGCUGAGGCUGUAGAAAGUGCUUUUUAUUUGGUUGGGAGCUUGUGCAUAAAUGCGAGAGGGGCUGCACAUCUGACGGACUAGAGGUGACUCAUGGCUGAACCGGAACAGGACAUCGGGGAGAAGCCAGCAGUCAGAAUUCAGAACCCCAAAGAAAAUGACUUCAUUGAAAUUGAACUGAAGAGACAAGAACUGAGUUACCAAAACCUACUAAACGUGAGUUGCUGUGAACUGGGGAUUAAACCAGAACGAGUGGAGAAGAUCAGAAAGCUACCAAACACACUGCUCAGAAAGGACAAAGACAUUCGAAGACUGCGGGACUUUCAGGAAGUGGAACUCAUUUUAAUGAAAAAUGGAAGCUCCAGAUUGACAGAAUAUGUGCCAUCUCUGACAGAAAGGCCCUGCUAUGAUAGCAAAGCUGCAAAAAUGACUUAUUAAAUACUCCCAGGAAUGGCCGCGCAUGGUGGCUCACCCCCUGUAAUCCCAGCACUUUAGGAAGCCAAGGUGGGCAGAUCACCUGAGGUCAGGAGUUCUAGACCAGCCUGGCCAACAUAUAGUGAAACCCAGUCUCUACUAAAAAAAAUACAAAAAUUAGCUAGGUGUGGUGGCGCACACCUGUAGUAGUCC